AUGCACAUGGACAUAAAAUUAAGAAGUUUAGUCUUUUACCGGUAACUUUUAUUUUUUUCCUCUUCCUGAACAAAAUAAACAAGUGUUGUUGUCUGCUGGGGGAAGGAAGAAAAGUAAGGUGUCGUUCCAGGAUCCAGCCUACUACUUAAGAUAGUUUCUUUUAUCUUUUUCUUUUGUUUUAGCACAAUUGCUACAAGACCAGUACAAUCUAGGUAAUAAAGUCACUCUUGGAGUUUAGUAAAAAAAGGAUGAUUUUGCAACUCUUCUGGAAGUUGGCGUCUUUUUUGAUUCAGGUUCUGUAUUCUGUUUCAAGGUUCAAGCACGCACCAUUAUUGGUCCAGCUGCAAUAUUUCCGAGCCUUUUUCUAAUAAAGGUCUAUCACAAGUUUACCGCUUCUCACUCUCCAUGAAGCAAGUUCCCAUGUGACGAAACUUCUAUACUAGUGCUACCUUGGAUCCGUCACCUGAGUCAAACGGGAAAAGAUAGUGGGAGAGUCAGAAGAGGAUACUGAAUGGUGAUAAAUUGAUAAUGAAUGACUAAGUGUGAGAAUGAAGAUUAUUGUAUCAUGGUUGCGUAAUUCUUUAAGUUGUUGUGGAGGCAUAGAAGUGAUUUGUUAUUUUUGUGCCACCAAUCGAUAAGCAUUUUAGUUUUUUGUGCACUAAUCAUAGUGUCAUAAAAGGCCUUCUAUAGAAGAUGAGAAGACUCUGGUUGGACUUUGGAGACACAAGAUUUAAAAUGGUUUAGCAAGUUCCAUGUCGAUGCUUCUCUCCUGCUCAGUGGAUGGACGGAGGUGGAUGCAAGUUUAUACAAGUCGUGCUGUUUUGGUAAAUAGUUGCUAAAUGAGUUAAAAUCAGUUUAAAAUAAGGCAGUCACCUCGGUUUAUUUCCGUUUCGGAAGUGUUAACCAAGAUGGUUGAUAAGAUUUGGGUGGUUUUUGGGAGGCUUUGGGGUGGUGAGUCUGGUGACUGUUGGAGGCUCCCCUUUAUCAAUUUCUCUUUUGUUGUAUGCAGACUACAUAUCAGUUUUUGUUGUGCCAACAGCCAGCCCUUCCAAAUGGCUAUCUUCCGUGCGUCCUCCCAUCUUUUUUUAUUUUUUUUAUGCUGUCUCUGGUUUGAAAGUGAAUUUCAGGAAGUUGGUGUGAUGUUCUCAUUCUUGAUGACCCUGCGACUAUUUUGGAAUCCUUUGAUUUACUUUCAAGGCCCAGUAUGCUUGGAAUGGAAAAGUUCUAAAAGCGGUGGAAAAAUAACAUCAAUGUUCAUAAGGUUGUAGGUUUACAUUGACCACGAUUUUGCUUUCGAGCUUAUACACAAUCAUUCUCUCUUGCACAAAUGACUGUGGAGCUAUGAUUGGAUGCCUUUGGAAGUUAAUGUGUCUUUUGGAGUGACUCUGGAAUGGUCUUAGAAGGAGAUGCACGAGCUCCGGUGAUAUUUUGGUAGGUAAUUGUAUAAAGGUUCAGCUUUGGCGCCAUUUUUGGAGCAGAGGAGAGUUUGAUGCCAAAUUGCAAUGCAUCUAGAUUCUAGCCCUUGUGAGGAUUGCCAUUGAUAGAUGCCUAGUGGAAGGUUGAGAUGUGGAAGAUAUUUGCCUGGUACGACCUUUAUUAGGCGGGUUACAGUAACUCCUGUAUUACCCUUGCAAUAAAAGGCCAGGAAAAUGACGGUUCUUGAAAGGGUUGGUUCACCAGAUUGUGUUCAGAUGACUCUUAUUCAAACCCC